UCUAUUCUGCCAUGAGUCAAAUGCAACCGAAGGAAGCCUUCUUGACUCUGCAGCCAUUUUAUUGGCUCUAGUUUUCUGAUCUGGUACCUGAAACUGCUUCUUGUCUUCUUCAAGAAUCAUCUCACCUCCACAGAUGGUACUAGAGAUGCUUCUCUCCUAUCAGAGUCCUCACAGCUUUGCUGAUACCAUCAAGCAGGCAUCCAAGCAGCCCAAGAUUUAUGGACAAAAUGAAACAGAGAUGGAAGCUUGUCCACUGAUGGCAGAGGAGAUCUUUGCUGCCCCCAUUACACGGGACAAAUGGAUCAGAGGGUUGCAAAACAAAGUAUUUUGUGAGGGAUCCAAAAUGUGGAAGAAGAACAAGAGAAUGACACAGAAAAGAAGAAGGAGGAUGAAAAUGAAGAAGAGGAGAUGGAAGAAGAUAAAGAGGAGCAGGAAGAAGAGGAAAAGAAAAAGGAAGAAGAGGAGGAAGAGAGAGAAAGUAGAGCAAAAUGAGGAGGAAGAGGAAGAAAAGGAAGAAGACGAGGAGGGGGAAGAAGAACAAGAUGAAGAAGAGGAGGAGGAGGUGGAAAAAGAAGAAGAAGGAGAAGAGGAGGAGGAAGAGGAGGAGGAGGAAGAAGAAGAAGCAGAAAAAGAGAAAGAGGAAGGGGGAGGUAUCCAGCAGAAGGAAGAGUCAGCUUCUUUUUUCCCAAAACUUAUCUGCAAGGAUGACUUAACCCAUCCAUCCAGUUGGAUAUCUACCCUACUUUAAAAAGUGCUUCAGUAAAAGAUCUCACAAUAUUUAUUUGUUGAUCUGUGCCAUCAUCUAAUAACUCGUUUGGGUUAAAAACAGUUUGGUAUUCCUUAAGUAGUCUUAAUUCUCUUCCAAGGUUAAUUAAACCCAUUUACCUCCUUAAGGACAGGAGAGAAUAAUCCUCAUCCUUCUCAAGCCUGUCCUUAAUAAGCUUAAAAAGAGACAUCACCCAACAUUCUUCUCAGAAUUCCAUUUUUGUAUCCUAUGUCAUGUAUAUUAUUUUCUGCAUUUCUUCAGGGUUCCCCACAUCUUAUUUUUUUGGUACUAAAUUAAAAAGACAAUUAUUUAUUAUUUAGUGGGGAAUUAUUUACUGGUUCCUAAUUUAGAACUAGAAGGAACCUCAGAGGCCAAUCUAAUCUAAACCCCUUAUUUUACAGUUGUGAAAACUGAGGCCUAGGAGGUGAAGUGACUCUACUUUGAGAAGCAAGAUUCAAACCCAGGUUGAUUGAUUACAAAACCAGUGCUUUCUAAAAAUAUAUUAUGCUGGUUGUCAGGAAAACACUGUACACAGUAACAGCAAUAUUGCAGAAUGAUCAAUUGUGAUAGUCUUAGCUGCUCUCAGCAAGACAAUGAUCCUGGACAAUUCUGAG
rnacentral:lncRNA from 1 species